UACGUAGGCAGCGAGCGUUGUUCGGCGUUACUGGGCGUAAAGGGUGUGUAGGCGGUUGUUUAAGUUUGGUGUGAAAUCUCCCGGCUCAACUGGGAGGGUGCGCCGAAUACUGAAUGACUUCGAGUGCGGGAGAGGAAAGUGGAAUUCCUGGUGUAGCGGUGAAAUGCGUAGAUAUCAGGAGGAACACCGGUGGUGUAGACGGCUUUCUGGACCGUAACUGACGCUGAGACACGAAAGCGUGGGUAGCAAACAGG
rnacentral:rRNA from 1 species